rnacentral:lncRNA from 1 species
GGUUGGGGGUGGGGAAAAAGGGCGGGGCGUGGAUGUGACCCACAUAAUAUACAAUCUUCUGGAAAGGAUCACUAGCAUGAAUGCAAAAGUUUUUCUGAAGUUUCAUUUAUUUAGUUUUCCGUGAAAAUAUGUGGCGCUAACUGUCCUGAGAAGCAAACAAACAUUUAGGUUUAAUAGGUUUGUUAGCAGAUUAUACCUGCUCACUUGGGGACCAAGACAUGCAGAUGAUCUACAUGGGAGCUUUUUUUCAGGAUGUUCAGUAUUUUACAGUUGGACUUCCUCUGACAUCUAAUUUCAUAAAGUUUUCACGUGUGAGGAGGAUGGCUGUGCUCUGCACCACGAAGAAGAUGUCAUGCUGAGGAUGGGUUUCUGCACUGAUGUUGUUGGUGUGAUGUACUGUAGCGGUGGCUCUCUCACUGUGUCUCUGUUGGCCAUGAUGCGUAACCAUAGAGAGUGAGUGACAGCCUGGUCUCCACACAGCAUAGGGGGCCUGAGAACCACAGACUCCUUUCAGAAGCAGUGAGGACUGACCAGUCUGCAAGCGAGACACUGGCCUUUCUCCCAUCAUGCCAGUCACUGACUGUUCUAGGCGUUGUGUUCAAAGACUAGUGCCACAAGUAUGGAAAUGCAGAUAAAGCAUUGUAACAAAUGAAAGAGGGAAAAAAAGGGUUAAAUGCCUGGAAAUGGUCACCGUCCACCACUUGUGCCACUGCCUGGUGCAUUUUCUUUUGUUUUGAAAGUUUUGCCAACAUUUUCAGUUGUUGACGGAUCUGUAGAGCGGAGGUAUCUAUCUACACACGCAGAUUAUGAGAGCCCUCAAUGUAAAUAACAUAUUUUUGUUUCUUUGAAUUUAAGAUGACAUUAACAAUGACCUAUCACAGUUUGCUGAUGAUAUGCCCGAAUGUACUCUUUCAGGUAAACAUUCUACAUAGUUUGUUAGAUACGGAAACAUACAACUGCCAUGUAAUGUUUACGAGAAAGCAAUCAAAACAGUAUAAAGCAAGCCUGUUUAGUAUUACGUUUUGCAGGCUAUAUGUUAUUUGGGUAAUUCAUAGAAGCUCUGUAAGUAUGUAAAACAUGUUUUGUUUUUUAUAUUUCCCCCAGAAAUAUCCACAGUAUAUCUAUUGUCUUAAUCAAGUAUCCCCAAACAGUCCAAAUGGAGGAGUAGUCCAAUGGUGGUUUUGGUUAUAUUGUGAUGAUUGAACGAGUUGAACCAGUCGUAGGCUGUGAUAUAAGGCCCACCUGAGUAGUAUGAGAAAGAAUAUGGGAACAUAGCAACAUUUAUCUAGAAUUAUAUCCAAUACAUUUGAUCCAUCUUUAAUUUGUAAAAAAAAAAUGUUUUGUCAAAGUGAUGAAAAAAACAUUAUUCACCAUUUUGUGUAAUGUUGUGAUUGUCCUUCUCAUAAUAAAAAUGAAGACAUACUCAAUUGUGAUGUCUGUGUUUUAAAGUUAUAUGUUUGUGUCACCUUUUUAUGAACUAACCUGAC